GAUGAACGCUAGCGGCAGGCUUAACACAUGCAAGUCGAGGGGUAACAGGGAUUAGUUUACUAGUCUGCUGACGACCGGCACACGGGUGAGUAACGCGUAUACAAUUUACCUUUUACAGGAGGAUAGCCCAGAGAAAUUUGGAUUAAUACUCCAUGGUAUUAUCGGAUCGCAUGGUUUGAUAAUUAAAGUUUCGGUGGUAGAAGAUGAGUAUGCGUCCUAUUAGCUGGUUGGUAAGGUAACGGCUUACCAAGGCGACGAUAGGUAGGGGUCCUGAGAGGGAGAUCCCCCACACUGGUACUGAGACACGGACCAG
rnacentral:rRNA from 1 species